GGGCCCGUAGCUCAGCUAGGUAGAGCGCCCGGCUCAUAAGAUAAUCUGAGAAACCGGGUGGUCCAGGGUUCAAAUCCCUGCGGGCCCA
rfam:Candidatus Acidianus copahuensis strain ALE1 ctg7180000000561, whole genome shotgun sequence.